rnacentral:rRNA from 2 species
GAUGAACGCUGGCGGCGUGCUUAACACAUGCAAGUCGAGCGAGAAUAUCAUGACUGAUUCUUCGGAUGAAGGAUUGAUAGGAAAGCGGCGGACGGGUGAGUAACGCGUGGGUAACCUACCUUACACAAAGGGAUAGCCACUGGAAACGGUGAUUAAUACCAUAUGAAGCCAUUAAAUCGCAUGAUUUUAUGGUUAAAGUGUUAGCGGUGUAAGAUGGACCCGCGUCUGAUUAGCUAGUUGGUGAGGUAAUGGCUCACCAAGGCGACGAUCAGUAGCCGGCCUGAGAGGGUGAACGGCCACACUGGAACUGAGACACGGUCCAGACUUCUACGGAAGGCAGCAGUGGGGAAUAUUGCACAAUGGGGGAAACCCUGAUGCAGCAACGCCGUGUGAGCGAUGAAGGUUUUCGGAUCGUAAAGCUCUGUCUUGAAGGAAGAAAAAAAUGACGGUACUUCAAGAGGAAGCCCCGGCUAACUACG